UUGGGAUUGGGCCUGCUAAAAAGAAUAAAGCUUGCUCUUUACUCUUACACAGAUUUCCAUAAGAAUGACAGUUAAUCGGAGUGAAAUUGGAGUGAAGGCUAUUGCUUUCUCUGUUUAACACACGAGAAAUCGUAUACCGGGAUUGCGAUCGCGCCCAGCGCCCAUUGUGCUGCAAAAUUUUGGCGUGACGCGGUCGGAAAAAUUUAAGUGCCCGGAAAUUGGCCGCAAGUGUCGGACAGAAACGCGGGUUUUCACGCGCUGCGUUCUGGAGUGGAAUUGGGACGUCGACCAGCAUCGCCCACGGACCCAGGGACGAGCAAGCCGCUCAAAUCGCCGUUCGUGGUCGCUCGUACCUAUAGCCGACCAAGCGGUCAUCAGCUCGGCAAUCCAAGAGGUAGGAUUUCCUGAUUUUAAAAGCGAACGCUUACGCUCUUUUCCAUUCCGUAGGAAAAGGAACGACCGAACGAGCCAGUUUCGCAGAGGUUCGCUAAUAGCUCUCGAGAAGGCCGCACACUUGCGGCCCCUUUUCGGAGAUUGGGAGAGAUGAGAUCUCAUCUCUGGCACCAAACCUUCGGAAACAACACCGCAGCCCCCUGAUAGACCCCAGGAGCACUCGCCGUGCUGUCAAUCGGCGCUCCAGGUCACCGAGCAGCCGAACAUCGAGGUAGAGGUACCUAAGGAGCUACCAAGGCAGUGCUCUGAACGCAGAACAGUGGAGCGGUUCCAUCAGCAGUACCAGGCGGUGCAAAACCCGCAAGAUAGUCCGCAGGCGGCGUUCGGAUCAGUGGGCAGCAGAGCAGAGAAGAAGCACAGCGGUGCUACUCGAUCGGUGCGCAGUGGAGGUGAAUUGAGCAGUGGCGGAUGCAGUUUCGCUUGCCGCUAAACGGUGCUCUGGCCACAGCCAGCGGAAGCUGGAUGAACACAGCUGGCAUGCUGAGGCAGGACCGGAAAAGCACCGAACAGAGGAGGUCCGAGCAGGCGUUCUGUGAAGCGGUGAGUACACGCUGAUUGGGGAA